rnacentral:rRNA from 1 species
GAGGUGGAAGCGCAGUAAUGCGUGUAGCUUACCCGUACUAAUCGGCCGUUCGGCUUGACCAUAAAACU